rnacentral:rRNA from 1 species
CCCUUAGAUGUUCUGGGCCGCACGCGCGCUACACUGAUGCAUUCAACGAGUCUAAAGCCUGCUCUGAUAGGGGUGGGUAAUCUUUUGAAUGUGCAUCGUGAUUGGGAUAGAUGAUUGCAAUUUUUCAUCUUCAACGAGGAAUGCCUAGUAAACGCAAGUCAUCAGCUUGCAUUGAUUACGUCCCUGCCCUUUGUACACACCGCCCGUCGCUCCUACCGAUUGAAUGAUCCGAUGAAUAUCAUGGAUUGAGGAUUAUAGCAGGUUCGCCUGUCUUGAUCUUCGAGAAGUGAAGUAAAUCUUAUCAUUUAGAGGAAGGAGAAGUCGUAACA